rnacentral:tRNA from 1 species
GGAGGGAUGGCCGAGCGGCUGAAGGCGCACGCUUGGAAAGCGUGUUCACGGGCAACCGUGACGUGGGUUCGAAUCCCACUCCCUCCGCCA